rnacentral:rRNA from 1 species
UAUCUCCUACGGGAGGCAGCAGUAGGGAAUCUUCCACAAUGGGCGAAAGCCUGAUGGAGCAACGCCGCGUGGGUGAAGAAGGUCUUCGGAUCGUAAAACCCUGUUGUUAGAGAAGAAAGUGCGUGAGAGUAACUGUUCACGUUUCGACGGUAUCUAACCAGAAAGCCACGGCUAACUACGUGCCAGCAGCCGCGGUAAUACGUAGGUGACAAGCGUUAUCCGGAUUUAUUGGGCGUACAGGGAACGC